GCAAGUCGAGCGAACAGACGAGGAGCUUGCUCCUCUGACGUUAGCGGCGGACGGGUGAGUAACACGUGGAUAACCUACCUAUAAGACUGGGAUAACUUCGGGAAACCGGAGCUAAUACCGGAUAAUAUAUUGAACCGCAUGGUUCAAUAGUGAAAGACGGUUUUGCUGUCACUUAUAGAUGGAUCCGCGCCGCAUUAGCUAGUUGGUAAGGUAACGGCUUACCAAGGCAACGAUGCGUAGCCGACCUGAGAGGGUGAUCGGCCACACUGGAACUGAGACACGGUCCAGACUCCUACGGGAGGCAGCAGUAGGGAAUCUUCCGCAAUGGGCGAAAGCCUGACGGAGCAACGCCGCGUGAGUGAUGAAGGUCUUCGGAUCGUAAAACUCUGUUAUUAGGGAAGAGCAAAUGUGUAAGUAACUAUGCACGUCUUGACGGUACCUAAUCAGAAAGCCACGGCUAACUACGUGCCAGCAGCCGCGGUAAUACGUAGGUGGCAAGCGUCAUCCGGAAUUAUUGGGCGUAAAGCGCGCGUAGGCGGUUUUUUAAGUCUGAUGUGAAAGCCCACGGCUCAACCGUGGAGGGUCACUGGAAACUGGAAAACUUGAGUGCAGAAGAGGAAAGUGGAAUUCCAUGUGUAGCGGUGAAAUGCGCAGAGAUAUGGAGGAACACCAGUGGCGAAGGCGACUUUCUGGUC
rnacentral:rRNA from 1 species